GGCGCUGUGGCUUAGUUGGUCAAAGCGCCUGUCUCGUAAAUAGGAGAUCCUGGGUUCAAAUCCCAGCAGUGCCU
rnacentral:tRNA from 2 species